rnacentral:rRNA from 1 species
GCCGCCUCCGCCGCCGGCUCGAAAACCCUAGCCCCGAUGGCCACCUCCGCCGCCGCCAGCUCGUUCCCCUCCUACCUCGUCCCGGCCCACGCCUCCCGCCGCAGCGGGGCCCGUCCGGCCCGGGCGGCGGCGGAGGGGGUGAUGGACGUGGUGUCGGAGGCAGAGCUCAGGGAGAAGGGGUUCAUGGGCAUGCGCAAGACGAAGCUCGUGUGCACGGUGGGGCCGGCGUGCGUGGACGCGCUGCCGGCGCUGGCGCGCGGCGGGAUGGGCGUGGCGCGGGUCAACCUCUGCCACGGCGGCCGCGACUGGCACCGCGCCGCCAUGCGCGAGGUGCGCAGGCUCAAUGACGAGGAGGGCUUCUGCGUCUCCCUCAUGGUCGACACCGAGGGCUCCCAGCUCCUCUUCGCCGACCACGGCGGCGCCGCAUCCGUCAAGGCCGAGGAUUGCUCUGAAUGGUUAUUUACCAGUAAAAAAACAGAUAAAGCUCACCCAUUUACAAUGCACGUGAACUUUGAUAAGUUUUCUGAAGGCAUUCUAGUUGGUGAUGAGCUUGUCAUAGAUGGUGGAAUGGCGACAUUUCAAGUUACAGAGAAGAUCGGGAGUGAUCUGCGCUGUAAGUGCACAGAUCCAGGUUUGCUUCUUCCUCGAGCCAAGUUGUCAUUCUGGAGGGACGGAAAAUUAGUUGAAAGGAACUUUGGGCUUCCUACAUUAUCGACAAAGGAUUGGGCUGACAUUGAAUUUGGCAUAACUGAAGGAGUCGAUUGUAUUGCUCUUUCAUUUGUAAAGGAUGCUAAUGACAUUAAGUCCCUGAAAACUUACCUCUCCAGAAGAUCAUUAGAACACAUUAAGAUAUUUGCAAAGAUCGAGAGUCUGGAAUCUCUGAAGAACCUUAAAGACAUCAUAGAGGCAUCAGAUGGAGUCAUGGUUGCGCGUGGUGAUCUUGGAGUUCAGGUUCCUCUAGAACAAAUCCCAGCCAUCCAAGAGGCGAUUGUUGAAUUAUGUAGAAACCUGAACAAGCCUGUGAUAGUUGCUUCGCAGCUUCUGGAAUCAAUGGUUGAAUACCCAACGCCUACUCGUGCAGAGGUGGCAGAUGUUUCUGAAGCAGUGCGGCAAUACGCAGAUGCUAUAAUGCUGUCAGCCGAGUCUGCCAUAGGUGCAUAUCCCGAGAAAGCUCUGUCUGUCCUACGUGCUGCUAGUGAGAGGAUGGAAUCAUGGAGCCGCGAGGAAAACAUGCAAAGACUUCUUCCACAGUAUCAGCUUGCGAUAGCUCUGCCUGACCGGAUUUCGGAGCAAAUAUGCAGCAGUGCUGUGGAAAUGGCAAACAACCUUGCCGUGGACGCCAUCUUCGUUUACACAAAGCAUGGCCACAUGGCGUCGCUCCUGUCACGCAACCGACCCAACCCUCCCAUCUUUGCGUUCACCGACGACGCCAACACGAGAAAGAGCAUGAACCUUUACUGGGGGGUGAUCCCGCUCCAGCUCCCGCUGUCGAAUAGCAUGGACGACAACUUCAAGCAGACCAUCAAGCUCCUGAAGUCCAAGGGCUCGGUGAAACCUGGGGACUCCGUCUUGGUCGUGGCCGACUCGGAUCUGAACCAACUUUGUGCUGCUGCCACAUCAUCAGUGUACCAAUCCAUUCAGGUCCGAUUGGUGGACUAG